GCCUCCUUCAGGAGCUCCAUAUGGGACACCCUCGGCUCCCUCGGCUCCUCACGCCACCUCAGCCCAGCCCCCGACGCGCCGCCUUCCCUCUCCCCGCCGCCGCGGGCCUCGACCCCCACAGGCGGCUCGGGCGUGCGGAGCGCACGGCGGGGCCGCGGGCCUGCACGGCCCAGGUGCUGUGUCAGCCUCUCGUCGGGCUGCGCGGCGUGGACGGCCUGGAAAGUCACAUGGCGGCGGGACCGGCCCGCGCCCCGAACGCUCCGGCUCUUCUCGGAGCCCGACCGGGCGACCCGAGCCACUCACCUCAACGAAGAGCAACAUGUCUGCUUCCGCUCGGCCCGAUCGCUCACGCUGCCGCGACUCCAACUGGCUCCCAGGCCCGGGCCCCGGUCGGUAGGAUAAGGACACUCGCCUUGCCCCUCCACCCGGCAGUGGCCCCGGCUCCGCCCCCGCCGUCAGCCGCUGCGCCCUGACCCGCCCAGUCCCGCCUCUCCGGAGGCAACAACUGUUUCCGGUUCUGGAGGCCAACUGCUUCCGGGAUCGGAGGGCCCGCCCGCCCCCCCGGCGUGCUUCGCUCUGGCUGGCUGGUCUCUGGCGGCGUGAGCGAAAGUGUGCGGUCCGUGUCGCGUGUGGGUCGACGCUCGGGAGGCCGCGCCGGGCUGUGCAAAACGCUCACUGACGCUUGUUUCACUUUCUACCAAAAAGCUGACCAAACGCUGGCGCAGCUUCGGGGUUCAAAACCUAGGUCCGAUUAAAAGGCGACUGAGUGCGCCCGCCCCUGCUGAUGACGUACUGCCCCCCGUCCCCCAAUAGAAAAAAAAAAAAAAGCUGUAGAGGGAGCUAAGAUACUACACAGCCACUCUAUGUUAACUGCAUCCUACGUGCUUGUACUGUACUAAGCAUUUUGCAUAAGUUAAUCUUAAGGCCCUAUGAAUAUAUUGUUGGAGGAGGGCUGGAGCAGAAUCAGAUUCCUUUCGCUACAACUUUGAUAGAACUUUACCACAAGCCCCCCCCAUCAGGUCUCAUUAACAUAAUGAUGCUCUGCUGCGAUGCUUAAUGCACUACUAAAAAUAAUUAGCCUAGCUCUCUUCUUUAUUGAUGUUUUCAUAGUCAAAUAAAAUAGUAUACAAA
rnacentral:lncRNA from 1 species